GCUUAACACAUGCAAGUCGAACGAUGAUUGGAGAGCUUGCUCUUCAUGAUUAGUGGCGCACGGGUGAGUAUACCAUAGAUAAUGUACCCCUUAGUUUGGGAUAGCCACUGGAAACGGUGAUUAAUACCAGAUACUCCUUCUUGUCCUAAGGCAAGUCGGGAAAGUUUUUUCGCUAAGGGAUCAGUCUAUGUCCUAUCAGCUAGUUGGUGAGGUAAUGGCUCACCAAGGCUAUGACGGGUAUCUGGUUUGAGAGGAUGAUCAGACACACUGGAACUGAGACACGGUCCAGACUCCUACGGGAGGCAGCAGUGAGGAAUAUUGCACAAUGGAGGAAACUCUGAUGCAGCAACGCCGCGUGGAGGAUGACGCAUUUCGGUGUGUAAACUCCUUUUAAGAGGGAAGAUAAUGACGGUACCUCUUGAAUAAGCACCGGCUAACUCCGUGCCAGCAGCCGCGGUAAUAC
rnacentral:rRNA from 1 species